CCUUGAAGGCCGCCUCUCUAAUCUGAAAGUUUUUCACCACUAGACUAGAGGGUGUUAGUAAUUUUGUUUAUGUGUUUCAUAUAGAUAACAUUGAGCUCUUGGCCUCAUGCAUGUGGAUUUACAGAGGAGUGACUGAGCACUGAUUGGCUAAAAUGCAAGUCUCUCAAAACAGUACUGAAAUAAGGUGGCAGUUUGCAGAGGCUUAGAUACAGAGAGAGGAGCAGCAGCAGCUACAAGAGAAAAGAGGUGAAGAAUUCAAAGGUUUUUUCACUGCUCGCAAAGGCCCAACCAUAACAAGGGAGAGAAAAAGAGAGCUGUAUGUUGCAUUUUUAAAAAUGAUUUACAUGGACUAUGAACCGCUGAAUACAGGAGAACGGGAAGGGAUGCAACACUUCGCCAGCGCGGCUCAACCGGGCUACACCCCCCCCUGCUUCAACACUAUCAGGGACACGCUCAUGCCACAUGCCCUGGAAGAGAUGGAAGCCAAACUGCAAGAACUGAUGGGUUUGUUCUGUCAGUGGAUAUUUGGACCAGUAGAAGAGGGCACAACUUCCUUGGCAUCGUGGCCAGUUUCAUUGAUGGGAUGUUCAGAGGGCAUACGGUUUUGUUGGGCUGUGAGCACAUACAAGGGCACCAUACCGCAGAUCGUAUUUACCAAAAGUAUGAAAGUGUACUGAAAUAUUGAAACGUGCAACGACGUGUGAUUAGGGUCGUCACUGACAGUGUGAGCAACAUGAUCAAGACGUUUAACCUCCUCCCUGGCACUGAACAGGAGGCAGAGAGCGAAGUGGCCGCAUAUGCCAGCAGCAGCACUGAAAAUGAAGAGGCGGAUGAAGGACCACCUGCACCAUCGCAAAUCCAAGUGGAAGAGAUAACCACCAAUGUAGAAACUAUGAUAAAUCAGUACUUUACUGUGUCUAAUUUACAUCUGAGAUGCCCCAUUCACAUGCUUCAGCUGGCGAUCAAAGACGUUUUGGAAAGAAAACUCCACGUCUUUUCCCUGCCUGGCUAAAGUACCUUGCAUUGUGUUCAGCAUCCAGGGUUUUUUUCCGCUGCCGGACUGCUGUCAAGAAACCACCGCAAGAGUCUGAAGCCUCAGACUUUGGCCAAACUUGUGUUCUUGAAAGUGAACUCAAAAGAAAUGUAGAUAAGGAAAGAAAUUCAUUUUUAUUUUGUUUUAAAGGUUGACUAUAUAUGUAGGCCAAUUUAAUUUGUAACCCUCCAAGGUAGUCACUAGCCAGCCUUGUCAGGAGCCACUAAUUAGGCCCAUUGAUUUGUUUAAUUUUACAGGACUUUUGUUGUUAUAUUCCUUUUUACGCAGGCUUAAUUUGUAAUUUGAAAUAAAUCAUUUCUAUUUGAAAAAUGUA